rnacentral:rRNA from 1 species
CAAUAGCGUAUAUUAAAGUUGUUGCAGUUAAAAAGCUCGUAGUUGGAUUUCUGGUGGGAGCGAUCGGUCUGGCGCUUAACGCGAGUACUUGCAUCGUCUCCGGCCAUCCUUGGGGAGAGUCUGUCUGGCAUUAAGUUGUCGGGCAGAGGAUCCUCAUCGUUUACUGUGAAAAAAUUAGAGUGUUCAAAGCAGGCUUAUGCCGUUGAAUAUAUUAGCAUGGAAUAAUAAGAUAGGACUUUGGUACUAUUUUGUUGGUUUGCGCACCAAAGUAAUGAUUAAUAGGGACAGUUGGGGGUAUUCGUAUUCCGUUGUCAGAGGUGAAAUUCUUGGAUUUACGGAAGACGAACUACUGCGAAAGCAUUUACCAAGGAUGUUUUCAUUAA